rnacentral:lncRNA from 1 species
GCAUCAUCUCUACAAAUGCUCGUUGAAAUUUAUAAGCCUUUGUGCCUUGACCUAAGAUUCUCUUAUUAAUUCCACUAUUUUUGUUGUAUGGAAGGAGCUUAUUCCAUCAUCAGUAAGUAGACCAUUCAUAGGCAACCUGGGGUCUUUUCAUAGAGCCAGAGAUGACUUCUAAGUGUCUCCAGUGUGUGUAGAUUUUGAGUCCAAGCAAACAUAUUCUAAUUCCAAAAACCAUUUUAUAACCCAAACUCUUAGCAGCAGCAGGAAUGACUCACAGUGAGGAAAGACUAGCUGCUAAACUUUUACCUCAAAAAAGAUGAAGCCCUAGGAAAAUGAAGCUUCUAAGGAGAACUAGAAGACACAGUAAAGGUUCAAGGGAGAUGGAGGAAGAUAAGCCAAUGAAAAAGACAGAAUGGUUACAGAGGCAGGAGAAUAACUGUUACAGAGGCAGAGAGGUACAUCAGCCCAAAGAAAGACAAGUGACCUCAAAUGCUGUGUAUGGAGACCAACAAGAUGUCCCUGGAUAGAACAAUUACUAGGGAGGUCACUGGGCACCCCUGAGGACAGUUUUCAAUAGGGCUGGUCCAGGAUGCAGACGGAAAAGGAUUGAGAAGAAGCUGGGCGAGCAAAUGGAAACAAGGAGAGACUUUCCUGUCAAGAAUUGUGGUUAUCGAGCCAAAGGGGUUAUGCUGGUCAUUUUCUACCCUGAAGUUUACUUAACAGUCUGAUAAAAACGCUCAUUCUUAUUUCCUUGCUCUAUGCCUUUCCAUAUACACAGAGGUUGGCUACUGAAAAUAAUUUAAUGCAAAUCCUUCCAGACUCUCUCUCCUGACACCACUCUUGUGUGCCUGAUUGUGGUUCUCUAAGAAACCUUAGAGAACCAUUCAACAGCUAUAUGCUAUCAAGUCUGAAUGUCUAAAUUUUAUUUUCCUGCUCGAGAUAAAUGAUAGUUAUUCAUUUAACAAAGAAAAGGCAAUGUAUCAGAUACACUGAAAUGUAUCAGAUCAACACAGCAAAAGUCCAGAUUCAAGUCAGAUAUCAUAUGACUUACCUUUGGGUAACCUACAUAAUAUAUGCUAACUUGUCAAAAAGAUAACUUUAAAUAUUUCUUUCUUUAAGGGUCUUUACCAAAAGUUUAUAAAAAUCAAAUAUGAAUAACAAAGAAAAUUUAAGCAC